CGUGUAGGCGGUUGGUCAAGUCUGGUGUGAAAGCCCGGGGCUUAGCCCCGGAAGUGCGCUGGAAACUAGCCAAACUUGAGCGCGAUAGAGGAGGGUGGAAUUCCUGGUGUAGCGGUGAAAUGCGUAGAUAUCAGGAGGAACACCGGCGGCGAAGGCGGCCCUCUGGAUCGUUGCUGACGCUGAGACGCGAAAGCGUGGGGGAGCAAACAGGAUUAGAUACCCUGGUAGUCCACGCUGUAAACUAUGGGUACUAGGUGUUCGGGGUGUUGACCCCCUGAGUGCCGACGCUAACGCAUUAAGUACCCCGCCUGGGGACUACGGCCGCAAGGCUAAA
rnacentral:rRNA from 1 species